rnacentral:pre_miRNA from 9 species
UCUCGAUAGCGUAAAACUUAACUCAAAAUUGUAUGGAGUUGGAACGCUUGCCUACGUUUGCCGCUAGGGGCGCUGUUCCAACUGCAUACAAAACUGAGUUAACUUUUACGCUAUCGA